rnacentral:misc_RNA from 1 species
ACACCUCAACUCUCAUGGCUUGCCCAUGAUGAGCUUGGACUUUGGGGGUUUUGCUGGCCUGCAGGUCGGCUCCUCUCAAAUGAAUCAGCUUGCCAGUGUUUGGUGGCAUCACGGGUGUGAUAAUUAUCUACGCUUGUGGUUUUCCACCAGAUAACCUUCAGCGAUGGAGGUUCGCUGGGGCUCAUAAACGUCUCUCCUCGGCGAGGACAGCUCUUUGAAC